AAGUGACCUGUUGGGAUACGCCCACCACAGUGUAGUUAUCACAGCCAUGAAAACUAACACACCUCACUGUGCUGUUCCUGUGCUGAUGAGCUGCUGGAUGCCAUGGGAGUGGUGGAUGCACCAUGGUCAAGAAACGUGGAGAUGUAGCACUGAGGAACAUGGGCUGCUCUUCCACAAAAGAGAUAAAUUUAAUCUGCAGAAUGCCAAGUAGAUCACAGAGUCUGACGUGCGCAUCUUAAACAUCUGCACGGUGGACAGUUUUGGACCAGCCUGGAGGAGCAGCGGUGCACCAUAAUUCCCUGUUUUUUCACCAUCUGAACCCAAGCUCUGUCUUUCUGAAAGUCUGAACUCAGAGCAGCAUUUCAAGGAAAUGAAGGGAUUGAAUUCCAAAAAGGCCUUGGGAAUGCAGCUGGGUGAUAAGGUGCCUGAGCUCGGCACACAGGCUUGGCUGAGGUGCUCCACACUCUUGUCAGGGGCCACCUGACACAGAAGGUGUCUAAAUUUCUGUCAGAAAGCAUAAGCAAAUCUUCCAAGUCCUGGAAGUGCUGUGAUACCUGGAUAUAUGCA